GUUUGAUCAUGGCUCAGAUUGAACGCUGGCGGCAGGCCUUACACAUGCAAGUCGAGCGGAAACGAUGGGAGCUUGCUCCCAGGCGUCGAGCGGCGGACGGGUGAGUAACGCGUGGGAAUCUAUCCAGUAGCGGGGGAUAGCCCGGGGAAACCCGGAUUAAUACCGCAUACGCCCUACGGGGGAAAGCAGGGGAUCUUUUGACCUUGCACUAUUGGAUGAGCCCGCGUCGGAUUAGCUAGUUGGUGGGGUAAAGGCCUACCAAGGCGACGAUCCGUAGCUGGUCUGAGAGGAUGAUCAGCCACAUCGGGACUGAGACACGGCCCGAACUCCUACGGGAGGCAGCAGUGGGGAAUAUUGCGCAAUGGGCGAAAGCCUGACGCAGCCAUGCCGCGUGUGUGAAGAAGGCCCUAGGGUUGUAAAGCACUUUCAGUGAGGAGGAAAGGUUAUCGGUUAAUACCCGGUAACUGUGACGUUACCCACAGAAGAAGCACCGGCUAACUCCGUGCCAGCAGCCGCGGUAAUACGGAGGGUGCGAGCGUUAAUCGGAAUGACUGGGCGUAAAGCGCGCGUAGGUGGUUUGUUAAGUUGGAUGUGAAAGCCAGGGCUCAACCUUGGAAUUGCAUCCAAAACUGGCAGGCUAGAGUACAGUAGAGGGGGGUAGAACUUCCGGUGUAGCGGUGAAAUGCGUAGAGAUCGGAAGGAAUACCAGUGGCGAAGGCGGCCCCCUGGACUGAUACUGACACCGAAGUGCGUAAGCGUGGGUAGCGAACAGGAUUAGAUACCCUGGUAGUCCACGCCGUAAACGAUGUCUAUUAGCCGUUGGGCAGCUUGACUGUUUAGUGGCGCAGCUAACGCGAUAAAUAGACCGCCUGGGGAGUACGGCCGCAAGGUUAAAACUCAAAUGAAUUGACGGGGGCCCGCACAAGCGGUGGAGCAUGUGGUUUAAUUCGACGCAACGCGAAGAACCUUACCAGGUCUUGACAUCCUCGGAACUUUCUAGAGAUAGAUUAGUGCCUUCGGGAAUCGAGUGACAGGUGCUGCAUGGCUGUCGUCAGCUCGUGUCGUGAGAUGUUGGGUUAAGUCCCGUAACGAGCGCAACCCUUGUCCUUAGUUGCUAGCGGUUCGGCCGAGAACUCUAAGGAGACUGCCGGUGACAAACCGGAGGAAGGUGGGGACGACGUCAAGUCAUCAUGGCCCUUACGACCUGGGCUACACACGUGCUACAAUGGGCGGUACAGAGGGCUGCGACCCAGCGAUGGUGAGCCAAUCCCUUAAAACCGUUCGUAGUCCGGAUUGGAGUCUGCAACCCGACUCCAUGAAGCCGGAAUCGCUAGUAAUCGCGAAUCAGCAUGUCGCGGUGAAUACGUUCCCGGGCCUUGUACACACCGCCCGUCACACCAUGGGAGUGGGUUGCAAAAGAAGUGGCUAGUUUAACCUUCGGGGGAACGGUCACCACUUUGUGAUUCAUGACUGGGGUGAAGUCGUAACAAGGUA
rnacentral:rRNA from 1 species